ACCACGCCCCCCAGGCAGGUCACUUGGACCCCUCCGCGCCCGCCGGGAGCCCUAACCCUGCCCCGUGUGUGUCUCAGGUCCAAGUGAGGAUGGUAAAAAGGGGCGUUUAUGCGCUCUGGGCUGAAAGUCAUUAGAGAGGACUUUGAAAUGUGUCACAGGGCAGUUCGGGAACAAACCCUAACAUCCAGGACACAGUGCUGAUCGAUACAGACAAGGGUGAAGCUCCUACAGCGUCUCAUCAACAUCAGAACAACAGGACCCUGACGGAAAGGACGUUAUCGGUAACAGGACCUGCUGUAUUGACCAGGGGUUUUUUGGCGCUGAGCUGUAAUACCGUGUGUCACCAGGGGGUGUCGCUGUCAGACAGCUCAUGGGCGUGUUUGCGCGUGUCAGUCAUUGCGUGGCUAUCCUGUGUGUGUAAAACUAGCUUCUUCAAGGGAUGUGUGUAAUCAGCAGAGGCGAGCGCAGACGCCCCCCAGAGCCAGGCAGCAGUGUGAACGCGCCCGGAGGGCCACGUGUUUGGUCGCUGAAGGGUAGCGUGGCUGGAGUGCGUGCGGGCCAGAGGGAGGAGGCGUGCCCUGCAGCCAGCUUGGCGGGACAGCCGGUGGGUGUGGGCGGGGCUGGCUGGUGCUGUGCCUCCCCCUAAUGCGACACUUGAACACUCCGAAGGCGCACAGUUGACACCGUCCCUGUUAAGACUGCGAUGAAAACAUGUUGAAGUGUGAAAGCGUGGCUGUUGGGCCCGAGGUUAAAGCAAGCAGCGCUUUGUGCGUCGGUUCCGGGCUAAUGGCACCGUCCCUCGCGCUCCGCCCGGCUGCCUCUCUGUCCUCCCUUGGGUCCGCCCACAGCCGCUCUCCGGGGCGCGGACUAUUGUUGCCGAGUCCGCCAAUGUUUCUGUUUCAUUUUCAGAGGGAGAUGGCUUUUGAAAAUGCAAAAUCUACUGAUUUUUAAUUACUGGCACCGAAUUCCGAUGAAAUAAAAGGCUAUGCCGGCCGAUGGCAGGCGUCUCGGACAGGACUUGGUCAGUUUUCGAGCUGUCCCCUGCUGGGGAGUUGUGCGAUUCAAGGGUACGGAUCCGCGGCGCCACGCCCCCUGCUGGAGCUGUGUAGGCGGGUGCUUUUCCUCAGCCUGAUUCACUGGAUGUGUUUCUCUUCUGCAAAAACAGGAUUAAACACCAUACGCUGGGGCUUAUCCAUGGUAACAGCUGAGACUCUAGUUUCUGGAGUCAGAACGGGAUGUGACUACCAGACCCGCUACUUACUAGGCUGGGUGACCUCGGGCCAGUCACUUGACCUCUCUGAGCCUGCACAUCCUCAUCUGGAACAACGGGGACAA